rnacentral:rRNA from 2 species
AGACCCGAAACCCGGUGAUCUAGCCAUGGGCAGGUUGAAGGUUGGGUAACACUAACUGGAGGACCGAACCGACUAAUGUUGAAAAAUUAGCGGAUGACCUGUGGCUGGGGGUGAAAGGCCAAUCAAACCGGGAGAUAGCUGGUUCUCCCCGAAAGCUAUUUAGGUAGCGCCUCGUGAAUUCAUCUCCGGGGGUAGAGCACUGUUUCGGCUAGGGGGCCAUCCCGGCUUACCAACCCGAUGCAAACUGCGAAUACCGGAGAAUGUUAUCACGGGAGACACACGGCGGGUGCUAACGUCCGUCGUGAAGAGGGAAACAACCCAGACCGCCAGCUAAGGUCCCAAAGUCAUGGUUAAGUGGGAAACGAUGUGGGAAGGCCCAGACAGCCAGGAUGUUGGCUUAGAAGCAGCCAUCAUUUAAAGAAAGCGUAAUAGCUCACUGGUCGAGUCGGCCUGCGCGGAAGAUGUAACGGGGCUAAACCAUGCACCGAAGCUGCGGCAGCGAACGUAUCACCCAAGACAACUUUACGGAGUUGACGAUUGACGGAGCGAAGCGACGUCAAAGCGUUCAUUAAAGUCGAGUUGGCUUAGGGAUACGUUCGUUGGG